rnacentral:tRNA from 1 species
UGCCCAUUGGCCCAGUGGUUAAGGCGUCUGACUGUUAUUAAUAGAAAAUCAGAAGAUCCCUGGUUCGACCCCAGGAUGGGCAG